AUUUUGCCAUGCUGGGACUUAAUCUGAAAGAAAGACUGUAAAGAAACAGAGAAGAAGACAACAGCUGAGUUGAGACUGUGUUUGCUGGAGCUUUGAAGCACGAACAGGACACUGUGAAUGAAAAAGGACCAGUGAGAGAUGAAGCUGGACGAGUUUGACUGCGAGAAUAUAGGAUAUAAUUGGAUUGAAAAUUGAAACCUGAACUCAUGAAUUGUUUAGGGAUGUCCACGACAUCACAACAAAGAGGUAAACAUUAGAAAAGGUAAGAAUAAUGAAAGAAAAUAAUUGUUAUUACCUUAAUGAAUAGAAAACACACAUACAAAUUGUUACAUGUGAGAUUAUUUUUGAAAUGAAUCAGAAGUGAGAUAGUUUGAAUCUAAAGCUCAGUGGUGAAAUGCAUAAAUUAAAUAUGAAUAUAUAGGAUGCAAUGAAGAAACAGCUUACACGUAGUGUACAUUAACAUGAAUACAUAGAAAUGCAACGAAGAACUCAAUGAAUUAAUUCAAUGAAGAAGCAGUUUACACUCAAUUAACAUAAAAUGCAAGGAAGAACACGCUUACAUGCAUGGCAUAAUUGGUAUUUCUGACCAGAGAUAGAGAAAUGGGUUAUUUAAGCACUUGUGAUAAUAAUGAAAAUGUCUUAGUUUUGUUAUUUUCAGGAGUAAAGCAGACCUGGACCAACUCUCCAGAUGCACCAGUCGGAAGGAAAUUGUAGGUUAACAUCAAUGGAUAAGUUAAGGCAAGUUUCUGGUUGAAUUGUUCACAGAAUCAUGUGUCCAUGAACCUGGAAAACAGGCCCUAGCUCCUGGCUGAAGACUAGGAGUGCUUUAUUUAAGGUGGGAAAUCAAAACAGAGGGUUAGUAAUUCGGGGAAGGAGAAAACUGACUGUUUAACUGGAGGGUUGGAAAGGUGUCUGACAGACUGCGAAGCCAUAGAUGCAAAAUACCACACACAAACAGAAAAUGUAUUAACCGUACAAAGACAAGCUCCUGAAGCUUAAUGCAUAGAGACAUUGAUUAAAACCUGGCUAAGAACAUAAGCAUAUGCAAUGAAGAUCUGCUUGCUGCUUGUAUGAGUGAGAGAAUGGUGUGAAUGGUUAAUAAAAUUGAUGGAAAGAUUUAAAAUAGAUGGAAAAAACAAAAGAAAAGUGUUUAUAAGAGUGACUUAGGAGUGCUCUCGUACUGAGUGAUCAAAACCGGUGAUUAGUAUAGAAAGAAAAUGAGAAUAAUUCAAUAAUGUGAUAAGGUUUAAACAUGUAUUCCUCUUGUUAAGUUGGCUGUUGAGCUGUGGGUUUAUGCAAAUUAGCUGGAGCAGAGACACUUCCUGUGUGCGUGUGUGUCGGAGGCUUUCAGUUCAAGAGAGAGCGGUGGCUGUUGAAGAGCGAAAUAUAAGGGUAAAGUAUCAGGAUAUUUGAUUACGGUGGUCAGGUCUGUUCAGAGGGGCAGAUUUGGACAGGAAAUUUAUAAUUUAAGGAUGAUACGUUGUUGAAAUUGGUUUAGAUCUUAUGCUGAAUGAACACAUGGUAAAGUGAGGAAGGGUGACAUUGUGCAAACGGUCUUUGAUCUUUUGACGAGGUUUUCGGUGUGUUGAACGGGUGAAAUUUAAGAUUGUUUCAGAUUUUUGAGGCUGUUGUUUUAUUUCGAGAGAGGGAGUUGGAUUGGACCUGGAUAGGUCUGAGAGGGGCCCAGAGAAAAAAAAUUUUUUGUAGUAGUAAGUGCACUCAGGAAAAAACCUGUCAGGUGAUUUUGUUUUGUACUUUGAUGAGCUAAUAAUCAGCUCUCUUUUUUCAUUUUUGUUUUAAGCAGGCCUGGAAGACAGUGAACGGACGGCGCUGACAAAAUUACCAAGUACGAAAAUCAGGUGCUGGUUGCUGUACAUGAAUCCUGAAAACAGGAAAGAAAUGAUGAGACUGGGAGACGUGUCGCAGCUGAGCUUUCAUCCCACUUCACACUUUGUCUUUUGCAUAUUUAAUAUUUUCAAAUCUUCCUCACAAAUUCAAAUAAAAAAAUCAUAAUAUUCGUCCAUCUAAAAGUUUUAUAGACAG
ensembl:lncRNA